rnacentral:lncRNA from 1 species
CUGGAGUAAAAGCCAGGACUUUGGCUUCUUUGAGCACAGGCAGACUUACAGGUCAUCAGGCGUGGUUGCGGCAGGUGGGGAAAGCCUAAGCCAAAGGGGAAAAACGAUAUUGGGACAGGAGUUAGCACAGCUCAUUAAGAGGGCUUUAAACUAGAUUUGAAGGGGGACGGGGUUGGAACCAGGGUCGCUGAAGUGGUACCCGGGAGUAAACUAGAAUCGAAGGGGGAAGGGGAGGAUACCAGGCCCAUUGGUAACGUGCCUGGGGGGGAAGAACCGUGGAUGAGGGUGAAAUCGGGUGCCCGGCUUAAGUGCAUCUACACUAAUGCACGUAGCAUGGGCAACAAACGGGAUGAGCUGGAGGCCAUCGUGCAGCAGGACAGCUAUGAUGUAAUCGCCAUCACGGAAACGUGGUGGGAUGAUGGUCAUAGCUGGAAUGCUGUGAUGGAUGGCUAUAAGCUCUUCAGGAGGGAUAGGCAAGGAAGGAGAGGUGGGGGUGUGGCUCUGUAUGUUAGGGAGUGUUUUGAUUGUAUGGAAAUUGAUUGCAGCAAUGAUAGAGUUGAGUGUUUGUGGGUAAAGAUGAAGGGCAAGGCUAGUAAGGGAGAUCUGGUGCUGGGAGUCUGCUAUAGACCACCCAACCAGGAGGAGGGGGUAGACGAGGCAUUCUAUAAGCAGCUGGCUGAAGUCUCUCGAUCGCCAGCCCUUGUUCUGGUUGGGGACUUCAACCUACCGGACAUCUGCUGGGAAUACAACACAGCAGAGAGCAGGCAGGCUAGGAGGUUCCUUGAGUGUAUGGAAGAUAACUUCCUGACACAACUGGUAGGUGAGCCGACCAGGGGAAGUGCCUCUCUAGACCUGCUGCUCACAAAUAGGGAGGGACUAGUGGGAGAUGUGGUGGUCGGAGGCCGUCUUGGGCUUAGCGACCAUGAAAUGGUCAAGUUUUCAAUUAUUAGAGAGGUAAGGAAGGGGGCUAGCAAAACCUCAACCUUGGACUUCCGGCGGGCGGACUUCAGCCUUUUCAGAACACUGGUUGGAAAAGUCCCAUGGGAGGAAUCCCUGAAGGGCAAAGGUGUUCAGGAAGGCUGGGUGUUUUUCAAGGAGGAAGUCUUAAAAGCCCAGGCACGGGCCAUCCCUACGCGCUGUAAAGCGAGCCGUCGGGGGAAAAGGCCGGCCUGGCUGAGCAAAGAGAUAGGGUCACAGCUUAGAGAAAAAAGGAGAAUUUAUGACCUUUGGAAAAAGGGGCAGGCCACGCAGGAAGAUUACAAAGGUGUAGCAAAGUUAUGUAGGGAAAAGAUUAGGAAGGCCAAAGCCCACCUAGAGCUCAACCUGGCUUUGGAUGUUAAAAACAAUAAAAAGAAUUUCUAUAAAUAUAUCAAUAGCAAGAGGAGGUCUUGGGAGAACCUCCA